rnacentral:rRNA from 1 species
AUUGAACGCUGGCGGCAGGCCUAACACAUGCAAGUCGAGCGAGCGGCGGACGGGUGAGUAAUGUCUGGGAAACUGCCUGAUGGAGGGGGAUAACUACUGGAAACGGUAGCUAAUACCGCAUACCAUCAGAUGUGGCCAGAUGGGAUUAGCUAGUAGGUGGGGAAACGGCUCACCUAGGCGACGAUCCCUAGCUGGUCUGAGAGGAUGACCAGUCAAACGGGAAAUGAGACACGGUCCAGACGCCUACGGGAGGCAGCAGUGGGGAAUAUUGGACAAUGGGCGAAAGCCUGAUGCAGCCAUGCCGCGUGUGUGAAGAAGGCCUUCGGGUUGUAAAGCACUUUCAGCGGGGAGGCGUUACCCGCAGAAGAAGCACCGGCUAACUCCGUGCCAGCAGCCGCGGUAAUAC